rnacentral:rRNA from 1 species
GACGAACCGCCCGAACGUUAUUCGGAAUCACUGGGCUUAAAGGGAGCGUAGGCGGGCUGCCAAGUCCGGGGUGAAAUCCUCCAGCUUAACUGGAGAACUGCCUCGGAUACUGGAAGUCUCGAGGAGGGUAGGGGCAAGUGGAACCGUGGGUGGAGCGGUGAAAUGCGUUGAUAUUUAGGGGAACACCAAAAGCGAAGGCAGGAAACUGGACCAUACCUGACACUGAAACACGAAAGCGUGGGUAGCGAAUGGG